rnacentral:rRNA from 1 species
GAUGUGCCCAGAUGGGAUUAGCUAGUAGGUGGGGUAAUGGCUCACCUAGGCGACGAUCCCUAGCUGGUCUGAGAGGAUGACCAGCCACACUGGAACUGAGACACGGUCCAGACUCCUACGGGAGGCAGCAGUGGGGAAUAUUGCACAAUGGGCGCAAGCCUGAUGCAGCCAUGCCGCGUGURUGAAGAAGGCCUUCGGGUUGUAAAGCACUUUCAGCGAGGAGGAAGGCAUUGUACUUAAUAACCGCGGUGAUUGACGUUACUCGCAGAAGAAGCA